rnacentral:lncRNA from 1 species
GAAAAAAGAAAUUCCCUUCCUUCUUUUUCAUUUCUCUCUCUGUAACUUUUCUCUCUCAAACUGCAACGCCGAUAAUGGCGGCAACUUCUAGAAGAUCAAGUGGACCGGUUAUUCGCUCGGUCUCGCCGUCCGGUAGGUUCUAUAGUGGCCGCUCUCCGUCUUCUUCUUCUUCUUCUUCUUCCGCUUUCGCUUAUUCCAGCUCUAGUUUCUCUUCUCGCUCGUCCACUUUCUUCCAUCAAAGAUCUGCCUCGCCGACGCGUGUUAACCUGUACGGUCACUCUUCGUCUUCGCCUUCCGUGCGGUUUUCAAUCGACCGUCCGAUUUCCCCCAGCCGAUCCAUCGCAACUGUUGGUCCUUCCUCCCGCGGUGGCCAAAUCGUGAAGAACCAGAACAAGCCGCAGAAGCGAAGCUGCAUGUGCUCUCCUACAACGCACCCGGGGUCGUUCCGGUGCAGCCUCCACAA